CAUGUCCUAAGCUCAAUCUCUUCAAGAUUGUAUAGACACAAACAGAAGAACUCUGUUUCUCUAAUGGUUCCACAUGAUUUCAGACUCAAUUUCAUUAGCUUUCUUAGAACCGGUUAAGGAAGAUGAAGAGUUUCUUGAGCAGACAUCAGACGGAUAAGCCCUUGAGAGGAUGGAGACAAAGCAACCCAAAAAAUGGAUCCGAACCGGUAAACAAUCGAGACAUGGCUAAUCGAGUCCUCUUCCUUCCGAUGGCCUUUCCUCAGAAGUCUCC
rnacentral:lncRNA from 1 species